GGGAAAGGGGCGCGUGCCGAUUCAUUGCAGUUCGAAGCGGAAGUUUCUGGAAGCUUUGCUCCAGAAGAGUUAGCGGCGGACGGGUGAGUAACACGUGGGCAAUCUGCCCGUAAGACUGGGAUAACUCCGGGAAACCGGGGCUAAUACCGGAUAACCCUGACUCUCUCCUGAGAGUCAGUUGAAAGAUGGUUUCGGCUAUCACUUACGGAUGAGCCCGCGGCGCAUUAGCUAGUUGGUGAGGUAACGGCUCACCAAGGCGACGAUGCGUAGCCGACCUGAGAGGGUGAUCGGCCACACUGGGACUGAGACACGGCCCAGACUCCUACGGGAGGCAGCAGUAGGGAAUCUUCCGCAAUGGACGAAAGUCUGACGGAGCAACGCCGCGUGAGUGAAGAAGGUUUUCGGAUCGUAAAACUCUGUUGUCAGGGAAGAACACGUACGAGAGUAACUGCUCGUACCUUGACGGUACCUGACCAGAAAGCCACGGCUAACUACGUGCCAGCAGCCGCGGUAAUACGUAGGUGGCAAGCGUUGUCCGGGAAUUAUUGGGCGUAAAGCGCGCGCAGGUGGUUCCUUAAGUCUGAUGUGAAAGCCCCCGGCUCAACCGGGGGAGGGUCAUUGGAAACUGGGGGAACUUGAGUGCAGGAGAGGAAAGUGGAAAUUCCACGUGUAGCGGUGAAAUGCGUAGAUAUGGUGGGAGGGAACACCAGGUGGCGAAGGCCGACUUUCUGGGCCUGUAACUGACACUGAGGCGCGAAAGCGUGGGGGAGCAAACAGGAUUAGAUACCCUGGGUAGUCCCACGCCCGUAACGAAUGAGUGCUAGUGUUUGGGGGGUUUCCCGCCCCCCCUCCACUGCCUGCCAGCUAACGCCAUUAAGGCACUCCGCCUGGGGGAGUUACCGGACGCAUGCUGAAACUCAAAGUACGACUGGGACCCGCCACAGCCGAUGUAGCCAUGUGAUUUAUUCGAGCAUCGCGGGACACCACUUACCAGG
rnacentral:rRNA from 1 species